rnacentral:rRNA from 1 species
UUGACCUCGGAUCAGGCAGGGAUACCCGCUGAACUUAAGCAUAUCAAUAAGCGGAGGAAAAGAAACCAACAGGGAUUGCCUCAGUAACGGCGAGUGAAGCGGCAACAGCUCAAAUUUGAAAUCUGGCUCUUUUAGGGUCCGAGUUGUAAUUUGUAGAGGAUGCUUCGGCGUCGGCUCCGGUCUAAGUUCCUUGGAACAGGACGUCAUAGAGGGUGAGAAUCCCGUAUGUGAUCGGUUGCCCUUGCCAUGUGAAGCUCCUUCGACGAGUCGAGUUGUUUGGGAAUGCAGCUCUAAAUGGGAGGUAAAUUUCUUCUAAAGCUAAAUACUGGCCAGAGACCGAUAGCGCACAAGUAGAGUGAUCGAAAGAUGAAAAGCACUUUGGAAAGAGAGUCAAAAAGUACGUGAAAUUGUUGAAAGGGAAGCGCUUGCAACCAGACCUGCCUGCAGUUGCUCAUC